GCCUCGGUGGUGUAGUGGUGGAGCACGCGUCCCCGGAUAGGAUGCAACUCGCAGUUCGAUUCUCGCCUGAGGCC